rnacentral:lncRNA from 1 species
UGUUUGUCAUCAGUAUAAACUCUUGUGGUAUUUUACCUGCUUGGAGAUUGGAGGGGACUAACAUCUUAAUUUGCUGUAGCUGUCUCCAAAAAAACUGCUCAGCUGUUCUGUGAUGGGAGGGCUGAGAUUCAGACUGCCGCUGCAGAGGCUAAACACUGAUGGUACUGCAACCCUCAUGGCUGUCAUGGCAAAGUACCUUUUGCCUUUAUUUUUCUUCUGUUCUUCUGCUAAAAGAUUAAUUCUUUUCUCUCGGUUCAUUACCAAGUAUUUGUAGAGGAGUUGGUGGCCCAGCGUGUGGCACGGGGGUUGGAGAUUCAUGAUCCUAGAGGUCCCUUCCAACCCUGGCCAUUCUGUGAUUCUGAGCUCGUAGCCAGGACUGCUCCAGCUAUCACUGUUAUUUGUUUUCUCUCUUCAUUUCUCUACUGGCAUUAAGACAGAGUUGGCACUGAAGCUAUGAGAAAUAUUGACAGUAAAAUGAGGUUUAAUUUAACAGAUCCAUAUAUUUGUAGAAACUUCCAUGAGGAUUUGGAAACAAUAACUGAGCAUAUCUGCAUGGAUGAAAAAGAGCCAGUUUACACACCUGCAGCUACUUGCUUUAUUGCCUGCUUUCCAUGGUUGUGGAUUGAAGCCCUUUUCUGAGCAGCAUCCUGCCAGGAAGGCCAUACCAACUUCCAUUUCUGUGUCCAGUGGUGCCCCAAGAUGGUCCUCCUUCCAGACCGGAUACAGCCCCGUGCAAGCAGCUUCCUUCUGUGUGAAGGAGGUAGGAUUAGGUAAAGACAUAAAUUAGGCUAUGAUUUAAUGUUUUCUUAAAUCUGAAGAAUAUCUGUGAGCUUUCUGUUUGCUACUUCUUGAGAAUCCCUUUCACGGGAACUGAAUCCUCCCAGAUGUUGCUUGCAGCCUACAGACCUAGUCCUGCUGCUGCAACCAAGCAGGAACCAACCAUGGUUCUUCCGUGUGCUUGAGCAGGUGAUACUUAAACAAGAAAAGAGUACCUGUUUGCCCUCACGCUGUUUCAGGGGACACACUCAUAUGAAUAAAAGGAUAUUCUGUGGCA